rnacentral:rRNA from 1 species
UACGAAGGGGGCUAGCGUUGCUCGGAAUCACUGGGCGUAAAGCGCACGUAGGCGGCCUUUCUAAGUCAGGGGUGAAAUCCUGGAGCUCAACUCCAGAACUGCCUUUGAUACUGGAGAGCUUGAGUCCGGAAGAGGUGAGUGGAACUCCGAGUGUAGAGGUGAAAUUCGUAGAUAUUCGGAAGAACACCAGUGGCGAAGGCGGCUCACUGGUCCGGUACUGACGCUGAGGUGCGAAAGCGUGGGGAGCAAACAGG